UACGUAGGGGGCAAGCGUUGUCCGGAUCAUUGGGUGCGUAAAAGGGCGUGUAGGCGGCUUCGCAGGUCUGUGGUAGAAAGGAUACAGCCUCAACUGUAUUGACCGCGGAAACGGCGGAGCUUGAGGCUGGGAGGGGGCUGGUGGUGAAUUCCCUGUGUAGCGGUGAAAUGCGUAGAGAUGUGGAGGAACACCAGUGGCGAAGGCGACUCUCUGGUCUGUGAACUGACGCUGAGGCGCGAAAGCGUGGGGAGCAAACAGG
rnacentral:rRNA from 1 species